CCUACGGGUGGCAGCAGUGGGGAAUAUUGCACAAUGGGGGAAACCCUGAUGCAGCGACGCCGCGUGAGUGAAGAAGUAUCUCGGUACGUAAAGCUCUAUCAUCAGGGAGGAAAAUGACGGUACCUGACUAAUAAGCCUCGGCUAACUACGUGCCAGCAGCCGCGGUAAUACGUAGGGUGCAAGCGUUAUCCGGAUUUACUGGGUGUAAAGGGAUGGGAGACGGAAGCACUAGGUUGAAGUGAAAUCCUGGGGCUUAACCCUGGAACUGCUUUGGAAACUGUGUGGCUGGAGUGCAGGAGGGGUAAGCGGAAUGUCUAGUGUAGCGGUGAAAUGCGUAGAUAUUAGGAGGAACACCGGUGGCGAAGGCGGCUUACUGGACUGGAUCUGACGUUGAGGCUCGAAAGCGUGGGGAGCAAACAGGAUUAGAUACCCGUGUAGUC
rnacentral:rRNA from 1 species